GCUGACGACCGGCGCACGGGUGCGUAACGCGUAUAGAACCUACCUUUUACAGGAGAAUAGCCCAGAGAAAUUUGGAUUAAUGCUCCAUAGUAUUGUUAGAUGGCAUUGUUUAAUAAUUAAAGAUUUAUCGGUAAGAGAUGGCUAUGCGUUCUAUUAGUUAGUUGGUAAGGUAACGGCUUACCAAGGCAUCGAUAGAUAGGGGUCCUGAGAGGGAGAUCCCCCACACUGGUACUGAGACACGGACCAGACUCCUACGGGAGGCAGCAGUGAGGAAUAUUGGACAAUGGGCGGGAGCCUGAUCCAGCCAUGCCGCGUGCAGGAAGACUGCCCUAUGGGUUGUAAACUGCUUUUGUAUAGGAAGAAACGUAGCUACGCGUAGCUAUUUGACGGUACUAUAAGAAUAAGGAUCGGCUAACUCCGUGCCAGCAGCCGCGGUAAUACGGAGGAUCCAAGCGUUAUCCGGAAUCAUUGGGUUUAAAGGGUCCGUAGGUUGGUCUAUAAGUCAGUGAUGAAAGUUUGCGGCUUAACCGUAAGAUUGCCAUUGAUACUGCUAGGCUUGAAUAGUUGUGAAGUGGUUAGAAUAAGUAGUGUAGCGGUGAAAUGCAUAGAUAUUACUUAGAAUACCGAUUGCGAAGGCAGAUCACUAACAAUUUAUUGACGCUGAGGGACGAAAGCGUGGGUAGCGAACAGGAUUAGAUACCCUGGUAGUCCACGCCGUAAACGAUGGAUACUAGCUGUUUGUUUUUCGGAAUGAGUGGCUAAGCGAAAGUGAUAAGUAUCCCACCUGGGGAGUACGUUCGCAAGAAUGAAACUCAAAGGAAUUGACGGGGGCCCGCACAAGCGGUGGAGCAUGUGGUUUAAUUCGAUGAUACGCGAGGAACCUUACCAGG
rnacentral:rRNA from 1 species